GACGAACGCUGGCGGCGUGCUUAACACAUGCAAGUCGAACGGAAAGGCCCUGCUUUUGUGGGGUGCUCGAGUGGCGAACGGGUGAGUAACACGUGAGUAACCUGCCCUUGACUUUGGGAUAACUUCAGGAAACUGGGGCUAAUACCGGAUAGGAGCUCCUGCUGCAUGGUGGGGGUUGGAAAGUUUCGGCGGUUUGGGAUGGACUCGCGGCUUAUCAGCUUGUUGGUGGGGUAGUGGCUUACCAAGGCUUUGACGGGUAGCCGGCCUGAGAGGGUGACCGGCCACAUUGGGACUGACAUACGGCCCGCACUCCUACGGGACGCAGCAGUGGGGAAUAUUGCACAAUGGGCGGAAGCCUGAUGCAGCAACGCCGCGUGCGGGAUGACGGCCUUCGGGUUGUAAACCGCUUUCGCCUGUGACGAAGCGUGAGUGACGGUAAUGGGUAAAGAAGCACCGGCUAACUACGUG
rnacentral:rRNA from 1 species